rnacentral:rRNA from 1 species
GGGGAAUAUUGGACAAUGGGCGCAAGCCUGAUCCAGCCAUGCCGCGUGUGUGAAGAAGGCCUUAUGGUUGUAAAGCACUUUAAGCGAGGAGGAGGCUACUUUAGUUAAUACCUAGAGAUAGUGGACGUUACUCGCAGAAUAAGCACCGGCUAACUCUGUGCCAGCAGCCGCGGUAAUACAGAGGGUGCAAGCGUUAAUCGGAUUUACUGGGCGUAAAGCGCGCGUAGGCGGCUAAUUAAGUCAAAUGUGAAAUCCCCGAGCUUAACUUGGGAAUUGCAUUCGAUACUGGUUAGCUAGAGUGUGGGAGAGGAUGGUAGAAUUCCAGGUGUAGCGGUGAAAUGCGUAGAGAUCUGGAGGAAUACCGAUGGCGAAGGCAGCCAUCUGGCCUAACACUGACGCUGAGGUGCGAAAGCAUGGGGAGCAAAC